UACAGAGGUGGCAAGCGUUGUUCGGAAUUACUGGGCGUAAAGGGCGCGUAGGCGGCCCACUAAGUCGGACGUGAAAUCCCUCGGCUUAACCGGGGAACUGCGUCUGAUACUGGAUGGCUUGAGUUUGGGAGAGGGAUGCGGAAUUCCAGGUGUAGCGGUGAAAUGCGUAGAUAUCUGGAGGAAUACCGGUGGCGAAGGCGGCAUCCUGGACCGACAUUGACGCUGAGGAGCGAAAGCUAGGGGAGCAAACGGG
rnacentral:rRNA from 1 species